ACUCCUACGGGAGGCAGCAGUGGGGAAUAUUGCACAAUGGGCGCAAGCCUGAUGCAGCCAUGCCGCGUGUGUGAAGAAGGCCUUCGGGUUGUAAAGCACUUUCAGUCGUGAGGAAGGUAGUGUAGUUAAUAGCUGCAGUAUUUGACGUUAGCGACAGAAGAAGCACCGGCUAACUCCGUGCCAGCAGCCGCGGUAAUACGGAGGGUGCGAGCGUUAAUCGGAAUUACUGGGCGUAAAGCGCAUGCAGGUGGUUUGUUAAGUCAGAUGUGAAAGCCCGGGGCUCAACCUCGGAAUAGCAUUUGAAACUGGCAGACUAGAGUACUGUAGAGGGGGUAGAAUUUCAGGUGUAGCGGUGAAAUGCGUAGAGAUCUGAAGGAUACCGGUGGCGAAGGCGGCCCCUGGACAGAUACUGACACUCAGAUGCGAAAGCGUGGGAGCAAACAGGAUUAGAUACCCCUGGUAGACUGUCA
rnacentral:rRNA from 1 species